rnacentral:sRNA from 1 species
GCGGCCGCUGCAACCAGAAGCAGAACUGCAAGGCCGGAAGCUCCACGUCCGCACCCGCCCCUUCCGUUUCGCUUCCGCCUACCUCGCCCAGGCUGCCAGACCGGAAGCGCUCCGCUCUACCUGGAUCCUGCUCCUCUGGGUUGAAACCCGGGCGCCGCCAAGAUGCCGGCUUACCACUCUUCUCUCAUGGAUCCUGAUACCAAACUCAUCGGAAACAUGGCACUGUUGCCUAUCAGAAGUCAAUUCAAAGGACCUGCCCCCAGAGAGAGUAAGUCUAAACCCAUUAUUUUCAAAUUUUGGUACAAAAUGCCUAACAAUCUUCUGAAAUGAUCAAAUCAGGAAAAUUCUUAGCUCAGUCUUCUCUCUCAAAUUGCCCUUGUACUUUGCUUGGUAGAUAUUGUGGUCUAGACCUUUCAAGAUAGUGGUUAUAUGUUGCAUUUAAUAGGAAAUUGUAUUAUUUCUUCUGACUUCUCUAGGAAACUCUUUUGAGAAAAUGGAGGAAAUGUGCUUAAUUCUGGACACUGUUUAUCAGUUCUUUCAAACAAAUCUAAUGCUGUUACGUCUAGAAUGCCACAUGCCCAUCCUUUCUGUCAUCAACCUGAAAAACAACAACAACAAAUAUUUUAACCUCUUCCUCGUCUAAAUCUACUUCCUUUAUUCAUUCUUCAAGAUCUUCAUUUUUAGCAAUACCUCAAUCUUAAAUCUGAAGUGUACUAUGUAACAUUACUUACGUCUAUUCCCGCUUUUCUGAAUUUUAUUUCAGAAAGCCGCAAUAUUUUUCAGACACUGUCUGAGACUCUUCUGAUGCUUUCUGAGAUGUUCUCCCAACAGUAUAAU